rnacentral:misc_RNA from 1 species
UUUCCGUAGGUGAACCAGCGGAGGGAUCAUUACUGAGUUGUCAUGGGCUUCAGUCCUGGAAGACAAUUUUGGGUCGUAUGUGCGUGCCCUAACAACCAUCUCCCAAACACCCGUGCACAUUUUUGAGUGCGUCUGGCCCUGGUUGCCGCUCUUGGGUGGUUUCCUCGCAUUCCCAUAAACCAUAAUACGCUAUUACUUAUGUUCAACGUGCUCUGUGCCGCAAGCCUAUUAAUAUAAUAAAACUUUUAACAACGGAUCUCUUGGCUCUC